rnacentral:misc_RNA from 1 species
UAAUAAGUGUUUUAUGGCACUUUUUAAAUCCAUAUCCACCUUGUGUGCAAUGUCAGUCGAUCUUCUUCAUGGAGAUCGACCAAACAUCAACCUUUAUCUUUUAACUCUUUGUCUGAAAAAUAUUAUGUAUAAACAAUUCAAAUA